rnacentral:lncRNA from 1 species
CUAGAAUCAUCAAAACAACACCAAUUUUAGACAUUGAUCGAUGCAUCAGAGCAUUAAAACAUUAAUUGCACAACAAAUGCAAUGUUAUAUAUUACCCUGCAAGCUUCCUGGCAAGGUACAAGAAAGGUUUCUCAAAAUUGUAGUUACUCUUGGCCGAAAUUUCAUAGUAUUGCAGAUUCUUCUUCCUGUGGAAUGUGACUUGCUUUGCCUUAACCUGCCUGUUCUUUACAUCAACCUUGUUUCCACAUAAAACAAUAGGAAUAUUCUCACACACUCUGCAUUACCAAAACAACAUUGUUACACAAAGCUGUUACACAAAAACAUCAAUAAUAGGUAAAGACCGUCAUUUUUAACACACCUGCAAAGAUCCCGAUGCCAUGUAGGAACAUUCUUGUAUGUCAACCGGGCAGUUACAUCAAACAUAAUUAUGGCACAUUGCCCAUGGAUACUGCAACACAUAAAUAUUAAAAAGUCAGAAAAACAAUAAGUAAAGCAAAAACUUAAUAUGUUGUUUCCGCGAUACCUGUCAAAAAUAAAACAAUAAACAAGAAGGAAAAAUAUGAAUAAUAUUUGGUACACUGCAGUAGAUUUUUUAAACUACAGAAGCAAGAUCAAAGGGUUCACAAGCGUCUUACAAGAAUAUAGUAAAAUAUUAAAAAAGACACAGCAAAUUUUUAAGAAUGCUUGUGGAAUAAAAAAAAUACACUGCAAGUGCACCAAAUACUAACACAAACAAGAAUACACAGCUACAACAUCUUAGGUUCAUAAAAGAAAAGGACAUGAAAAAGUUGAGGUAUAAGCCACUGGGUACAAAGAAUCGAAAAUGCAACCCAAAGCCUUAGCUAAAAUGAAUUACUUCACCAUGUUUAUAGAAAAAGGUGCAAGUAAAAGAAUCACUCACUAGUAACCAUCUCUGAGACCACCGAACUUCUCCUGUCCAGCAGUAUCCCAGCAGUAGAAACGGAUUUUGCCACAGUUAGUGAAGAAGUCCAAGGGAUGAACCUCCACACCAAUGGUUGCUGUACAAAGAUAAAAACACUUAAAGUAACCACUCAAUCAAGCACCUCAUGCAUCAAACAGGACUAGCGCCAGAAAACAGUACUUGUUAAAACACUUACGCUCGUAUUUCUUUUCAAACUCUCCAGUUAGAUGCCUCUUCACGAAGGUAGUUUUGCCUGCAACCGUCACAGAAAGUUCAAGCAAAGUACAAAACAAUGUGCUCACUCAAACAAAAUAAUUUUUUUUAUAACUAAAACAAAAGCAAAAGGCCAAAACAUAUACAUCUAAGAGAUCACAAACCUCAGAAAUGAAAACGUAUUAAAUACUCCUUUUUUACUUUAUUUUUAUAAAAUUCAAAUUAUGAAAUUAUCAGCGUCAAAUAAUAACGAUUUGAAGAGAACAUAAAGUUCGAACUUCCGACAAUUUCAUAAACAAUCAAAAUCAAACGUAUUGAAUUAAAAUCUUACAAAUCGAAUCUACGAGAAAAGAAAAUGGAAACUACCAGUUCCACCAUCGCCGACGAUAACGAGCUUGAAGCUCGGAUAAUCAACUGUUUGCUGGUUCGGCAAAGCCUGCACCACGAAUCAAGGGGAAAAAAUAAAGAUCUAUCUUGACACUAAAACCCUAGAUUAUAGUUAAGAUAUAGAAAACAACCAAAAAAAAAAGAAGAGAAAGAGCGAGGGGCUCACCAUUGAUUCGGAGACGGAGAUACAAUAGAAAUGAAACUACAAAUCUUGCGUUUGUUUGGCGAAAGUAGAGCGAAUCGGAGAAGCGUGAUUUGGGAGACGGCGAUAGCCAAAGGGUUUAUAAGAGCGAGGGCUUUUGGGAGUCUAAGCUCGGCUUUAAAAUGACGCAACUCUCUCUGCCGUUGGAUUCGAUUACUUACCCAUCUUUCCUCAUCUCGUAUCGACCGUCGGAUCAUGUUUCCCUUGGGGUCCAUUUCUAGUAUGCCGCGUUAAUGCCCUUUUCCGGUUUUUGAGGGAGUGGAUGGUAAUUUGGUAAAUAUCAUGUAGUUUUCUUUUUUUUGGUUGAGAAGAAAACAAAAACAAAUUACGUAGCAGUGCCCUCUAAAGGACACCCAGCUUCAUCUCCAUGCAGUAGCCGGCGAGGGAAAUACUUGUAACCCAAUUUCACGUCCUUUAAACAUUGCUUCCAUACCAUCAUCAGCGACACAGAUACCUUCUCUAUACUAUAUAUAUGUUGAAUCUUCACCUCCCGGCCUCGUUUGAGUAAAGUCGCCAGCAAUGGAUGAACAGCAUUAUGAUGCAAUGCUUUACCAUGGCCAUUCAACAAAUGCCUACAGUAACAUUAUGACGCUCCAAGAUCACCCGUGUAGCACCCAACUCCAAUGCAAGCGCUAAGCCAUCAUACACACGCCAUAGUUCUGCCUCCACAACCCAACACAUCCCGGUACUGCUCGAGAAGCCUAUCACCCAUCGGCCAAGACAGUCACGAAUUACCCCUCCAGCCGCUGCAUGUUAUCCUCAAUUCGGGACUGCUCUACCAGUAUUCACCUUGCACCGUCUCACCGCUGGUCUUUCCCACAUAACUGAUCUUUGAUUGUGUUGACAAUAGGGAUUUAAAUUAUGAUUACGGUCGCAUUUUCAGUCAAAUCACGUUUAUUGCGAUUACGGACACACUACAGACUAUCGCAAACAUUGCGAGCAUAGCGGUAGUUUUUUUUUUUUUCAAAUCUCCAUACCUUAUUGUAAAAAGUAAACAAUUUGUUAUGAACUAAGAGAAUUAUAAAUUGAACAAGAGAAGAAUAAAAAAAAUAAAGAAAGAAUGUUCAAUUUUCACCUUCUUCUUUUGGACAUAGUAAGUUUGUACAUACCUUUUAUUUAUAGUGCUUCGAGUGGACCACAUUAAGGUACCAUAUAAAUUAUUUAGAGGUUACAAAAUAAUGAAUUUAGAGGUUAUGAAUACUCAUUCUUUAGUAGUUACAAUAUGAUAAAUUUGGGGGGUAUGGACAUCCUAUUUAUAGGGCUUCAAGUACCAUAAGUUACAAAGCAUUAAGGACCAACAUUAAGAUAUCCUAUAAAUGAUUUAAGGGUUACAAGAUAAUGAAUUUAGGAGUUAUGAAUAUUCAUUCUUUAGGAGCUACAAUAUGAUAAUUUGGGGGGGGGGGGGUAUGGACAUCCAUUUAUCAAUGGAUUUACAAUACUCCCCCUUAGAUGUCCAUAAUCUAUUAUUAAAAGUUAUUUCGUUAAAAACCUUAUUAGGAAAAACUCUAUAGAAUAAAAACCUAAUGAAGGAAAAAGAGUACAUAAUCUAUUAUUACAAGUUAUCUCGUUAAAAAUCUUUACCAAGAAAAUUCAAUGGGACAAAACUUUAAUUAAAGGAAAAGAGUGUAACGUGUUUUUUGACUCCCCCUACUGGUAACAUCACAUUACAUCUUUGAGUUGAUGCAUUUCAAUCUUGUGUAGUAGUCUUUCAAAUAUUGAAGUUAGCAAUGCUUUGAUAAAAGGAUAUGCUAAAUUAUCACUAGAACGAAUUUGUUGAACUUCUGUAUCAUCUUUCUUCUCAAGAUCAUGAGUGAAGAGUAAUUUUGGUGAAAUAUGUUUCGUUCUGUCACCUUUGAUAUUACCACCCUUUAAUUGAGCUAUACAUGUGGCAUUAUCUUCGUAUAAAAUAGUUGACAUAUUUUUCUACAAAGGCAAAUUACAUAUCUUUUGGAUAUGUUGGGUUAAUAACCUUAGCCAAGCACACUCUCGACUUGCCUCAUGCAUUGCAGUUAUUUUUGCAUGAUUUGAAGAAAUGGCAGCUAAUGUCUACUUUGUUGAACGUCAUGAUAUGACAAUACUUUCACAUGUAAAUAAAUAUCUCAUUUGAGGUCAAUCUUUAUGUGGAUCCGAUAAAUAUCAACAUAAGUAUAGCCGACUAAUAGAGAUUUUGAACCAUUUGAAUAAAAUAACUUCAUAUCAAUGAUCCGUCUAAAAUAACUAAAUACAUGUUUAAUUUCAUUACAAUGUCUACGUGUUAGAGAAGAACUAAAUCUUGCUAGCAAGUUUACAACGAAAGCUAUAUUAGGUCUUGUGUAGUUUGUAAGAUAUAUCAAUGCCCCUAUGGCAAUUAGAUAUGGUACUUCAGGACUAAGAAACUCUUCAUCAUUCUCGCGAAGAGGAUUAUUCACAUCUAAUGGUCGUACAACAAUCGGGGUACUCAAUGGAUGUGCUUUAUCAAUGUAAAAUUUCUUUAAAAUCUUUUCCAUAUAAGUUGAUUGAUGGACAUGAAUUUAAUCUUUAAUAUGUUUGAUUUGUAGGAUGAGACAAAACUUUGUUUUUCCAAGAUCUUUCAUCUUAAAAUCUUUCUUCAAAUAAUUUACUAUAUUUUGAAGCUCUUCAAAGUUCUUAUAAUAUUUAAAUCUUUAAGUUUUUCAAGCUUCCAACAAUGGAAACUAAAUCAAAGCUUCUUAAUCAACAAUUUUAACACUUGGGCUAGCUAAAUUCAACAUCCUUAUAGCAUAGUUUAAACAAAAAUCAAAGGAGAAAACUUACAAUGGCGAUGGGUAAGAGUUCAAAUAAUUUUCUUUUACUGUUUCUCAAUUCCAGUGGUGGAAGGUAGAAGAUGAAAAGAAUGGAUAAUGUAAUUUUUAGCCCUUGAACUUGGCAAGCAAGUUGACAUUGACCCUUUAGCUUAUUUUUAUCCACUUUGAUCAUUGAACUUGAAAACCAUUAAUCAUUUAAGCCCAGUUUGUUAAUGACCAUGAAAAAAAAAGGAUAAUGUAAUUUUUACCUCUAAAAUUGACAAUUAGGUUUACUUUAGUACUUGUACCUUUUUUUGGAUACAUUUUGAUCCCUUAACUUGAAAAUUUUAAAAGUUUGAUGAUGUGACACUCUAAGUUUGAAAAAUAAAUUUUUUUUAAUAAUGAUGUGGUACAAUCUUAGAGUGUCAUAUUCGGUGUUUUAAUAAUCGAACCAUGGUUGAAUAGGUUAGACCAUCAAUUUUCAAUUCAACUAGUUCGAUCGGUUUGACCAUCAAACCAGCAAUAAUUAAAAAUUCUUAAAAAUCUAAAAAAAAAGUAAAUAGAAAGAUAAAACCGAUUUUACUUGACUUUUUAGAUUUUUAUGAAUAUUUAAUUAUUUAUUUAAUUUUUAUUGAUUCGAUGGUUGAAUAGAGAAUUGGUUAUCUAAUAUAUUCAACCAUUGGUUAAGUUAUUAAAACACUAAAUAUGACAUUUUGAGAUUGUACCACAUCAACAUCUAAAAGUUCUUUAUUUUAUUUUUCAAGUGAUGAUGUAGCGCAAUCUCAAAACGUCACAUCAUCAAACUUUUAAUUUUUUUCAAAUUCAGUGAUCAAAAUGAACCUAAUUUUUAAGCUCAAAAUAGACUAAAAAAAUACAUAUACCAAAGUAGUUUAAAUUAAGUUAAUUUUAUUUUGUUAAAUUUUCAAUUAAAAAAAUUAAUAUACUACUAGAAAUCUUAUCACAUGAUUUAUGAAAUUAAAAAUAAAAAAUAAUUUAACUUGUCAGUAAAAGAAAAUUGGAGUAGGUAAAUACAUCAUAUUAAUAAUAUUAAAUGUACUCUAAUUGUUUAUCAUGAUAUUGUCUUUUUUCUAUAGUACAUCAAAAAAUUAUCAAGUUAGUGAAAAAAAUUCAAUAUUAAAAUUCAAUAUUUAAAAGAGAUCCUAUUAUACACAUAUCCGUGUAGAAACCACAAAUUUAAAAUACAAAUGUGUAUUUAAAAAUAACAUACAAUAAAUUACGAAUGUUAACUUUGUUGAUGUGUCAUAACCACAAAUUGCCAAGUAGAUGACAAUAAUAUUUUAUAAUAUUAAAAAAUAUUUUUAUAUAAUAUUUUAUAAUAAUUUUAAUGAUUUUUAAUUUUAAAAAUAGUUCUUAUAAUCUAAUUAAUUAAAUGUCAGAUGUGUCAUCCACGUGUAUGCAAUGUCAGUAAAGUUAAAAAAAUAUUAAUUUUUUCAUUUAUUUUAGGGUGAAUUGAUAAUAAAAAAGCAAGUUUAAUGGCUAGAAAAGACAAAAAAAAAGUAAAUAGAAGGCUAAAAUGAAUUCUUUGUAAAGUUAAAGGGCAAAAAAAUUAUUAUGUCAAAUGAAAAGAAUUAGAUUAGACUAUUUAUUAUGGUAUUGUCAUCAAUCUUGAGUUAAUGUCGAAUUAAUUUGUGACGCCAACUCAAUCAAAUACAUUAUUAAUACUAGAAAUGUUAUUACACGCGUAAGCGUAUGGAAACCACAAAUUUAGAAUAUAAAUAUAUAUUUAAAAAGAUAUAAUAAAUAAUAAAACGUAUGAUUUAAAACUAAUUAAUUAUAAUAACACAUGAAAUAUAUAUAAUAUUUAAAAUAAAAUAGAUUAAAUUGUGAGUAAAACGAACAACUAAUAGAUAUAAUACCUUGUGCAUAUUAAAAUUAAAAAAAAUGUACAAAACAUUUUAAAAUAAAAUUGUAAAUGGGUAAUAAUUUAAAAUUUUACUAAUCCAAUUAACAUAUGCAUAUUUUAAUUAAAUUUAUUUUAAAAAUAAAUUAAAAUACUCUUAAAUAAUACAAGUGGUCCAUUGAGCAUCACACCGGAUUAGUAAAAUACUUAAUAAAUAGUAUAAAUGAUAACUUAUUAUUUUAAUAUCGACAUUUAAGUAGCAGAGAAGAAAAAUAAAGACGAAAACGCCAUACGUGAAUUCAUGGUAAAGAAGUUCAAGCCUGAUACUUCAACAAUUUUCGAGAAACUACGGAGAAUUGCUUAACUGGAUGUUCUAGUCGAAAUACAGAGAAGUCGAAGAUCGAACCUGCCUCAAUCUAAUUGAUUGCCUAUUACCAAUCAACAUCAAAUAUUGCUUCAAUUAGUAAUGAGACAAUAGAUUAUAGGAACGGAAAUGGGAAGAUGAAGAACCGAAUGAAAAUGAGAGCAAAGGGGAAUUCCAAUAUUCUCCUCAAGAAUUUCAUAUUCAAAAACAUAUAGAGUAACUAUCACAUAAGGAUUUCACUUAAGGCAGCAAAAUCCAUAACAACAAAAAGCAAAAGUCGAAAACACGACCAAAGAUCCACCAUAACAACAAUUAUAUUCGUAAAAUCCUACACUACAAAUUCAUCCUCCGUCACUCCUCCCUACUUGCAAUUUAAAUACGAAAAUGAGAGAGCACACAUUCAGACGGGAGUGAAAAUGAAAAAGCAGCAGAAAUUGUUGAUGGCUCUCUGGCAACUCAAACCCCUCUCUAUUCAAAUGCAUCAUCAUCGUCAUCUGGAAGGGGCUGACUGGCUGCUGCCGCAAGCUCAGCCUCAUGCCUAACAACAAACCAAUCAGUUUUUCAAUAGAAUGCGGGUGAGAAUAAAUGAUGGAUACAAAAUCAGUUUGCAGUGGGUUAUCUUACUGUUGCUGUGCAGCCAAGUCAAUGUGUACUUCAGGAGGAGCAAGUGCAGGAGACUCCACGAAGUGAAGAUUAGGAUCACUAGAAUCAUCAAAACAACACCAAUUUUAGACAUUGAUCAAAGCAUCGGCAUUAAAUCAUCAAUUGCACAACAAAAGCAAUGUUCUAUAUUACCCCGCAAGCUUCCUGGCAAGGUACAAGAAAGGCUUCUCAAAAUUGUAGUUGCUCUUGGCAGAAAUUUCAUAGUAUUGCAGAUUCUUCUUCCUGUGGAAUGUGACUUGUUUUGCCUUAACC